UGCCUUUAUGUGUUGCCCGCUCUUUGCCUCCCACGAGGAGCGUGGUGUCAGCAAAGGCAAACAUGUCUUGGAUCGGCCUUAACAAGGUUCCUCUGUGAUGACCUUGUCUAAGUUCUAUUCCAAGUACAAGA